UAGGGAAUCUUCGGCAAUGGACGAAAGUCUGACCGAGCAACGCCGCGUGAGUGAAGAAGGUUUUCGGAUCGUAAAACUCUGUUGUUAGAGAAGAACAAGGACGUUAGUAACUGAACGUCCCCUGACGGUAUCUAACCAGAAAGCCACGGCUAACUACGUGCCAGCAGCCGCGGUAAUACGUAGGUGGCAAGCGUUGUCCGGAUUUAUUGGGCGUAAAGCGAGCGCAGGCGGUUUCUUAAGUCUGAUGUGAAAGCCCCCGGCCCAACCGGGGAGGGUCAUUGGAAACUGGGAGACUUGAGUGCAGAAGAGGAGAGUGGAAUUCCAUGUGUAGCGGUGAAAUGCGUAGAUAUAUGGAGGAACACCAGUGGCGAAGGCGGCUCUCUGGUCUGUAACUGACGAUGAGGCUCGAAAGCGUGGGGAGCAAACAGG
rnacentral:rRNA from 1 species